rnacentral:tRNA from 2 species
GGCGGCAUAGCCAAGUGGUAAGGCAAAGGUCUGCAACACCUUUAUCACCGGUUCAAAUCCGGUUGCCGCCU